CCGACGGUGAGGGAUGAAAGCUGGGGAGCAAACCGGAUUAGAUACCCGGGUAGUCCCAGCUGUAAACGAUGCGCGUUAGGUGUGUCAGUGACCACGUGUCACUGAUGUGCCGAAGGGAAACCGUGAAACGCGCCGCCUGGGGAGUACGGUCGCAAGGCUGAAACUUAGAGGAAUUGGCGGGGGAGCACCACAACGGGUGGAGCCUGCGGUUUAAUCGGACUCAACGCCGGAAAUCUCACCGGAUAAG
rnacentral:rRNA from 1 species